CAUCAUGGCGGCUGUGCGUGGGAGACCUUCGGGUCUGCCGGGUUCAAAGUUACCGGUUCGCCAACCUGCGUACAGCUGCCACCCUU
rnacentral:antisense_RNA from 1 species